CUACUAGUCAGUCCUAUGAAAGUGGAAGCAGUUUGACGUAAUACGGCAAUGGCGGAUCGUGGAGCCUCUCAAUCGUUCCCGGAAGUUGGCAGCAAAUACUAGCAGCGCGGCCGAGUUGCAGCAGAAUAGACCGGUUGUGAUGCACUUUAAAAGGAUGAUGAACUAGCCUGAAAACGCAGUGGGGUAAGUGUGACUUGAUGCAGUAAAAGAGCAGGCGAAAGUGACUGGCCAUUACCCUAAAGAAGCUAGCACCAGCCCAGGAGAGAAAGAUCCUCUUAUCUUCGUUUUCACCCGGGAAACAGGUUCAAAAAAAGGCCCCGAUGACAGCCGCGAGGGCGGGGACUGAACUCCGAGUGUGGACGAAGCCCGGCCGGGAUGGUGGGGAGAGAACCGUGAGUGAGAGCGUGAAGCCCAAAAACUGCUGAGGGACGCGAAUGACGGCGGGAGGAGGACAUCAGCCGCCAGAGAGGGGGCGACGAUGAUGACAGCCACGAGAGGCACAAAGGCGGGAUGCGAAUCCUGAACUCCGCUGCCUGGGCCCCGUCCCCUGUUCCGCAGCGAGGCUGCUUCACUCCAUCCCUGCCACACACACAAUAAUGUCAUCCUUCUCGAUCCAGGCGGCUGAACUGCCAGAUGGCGCGGUGACGGGGAGGCGGAGCAUUGAGCUCUCUUCCUUCUCCGCUCAGGUGCUCAAGCUGCUCUUAAUGAGAACCAGCUGAUACUGAUCUGGCUGCAGCAUGAGCGCCUUUUAAAAAAAAAGAGCAGAGAGGGAACAGAGAGAGGGAGAGGGAACUAGAGCUUGCCUUUCUGCGCUCACUCAAAAAAAUCAUUUAUGGCCAUUAUAAACAUUAAGCAAAUAUUUUACAUAAAACUUAUUUAAAAAACAGAAAAUAUACUUUACUUAUUGAUAUUCAUUAGAAGCAGCCCAAUUUGGAUAAAUCCAAAACUGAUUUAAUUGAAUUCUAUAAGACCUAUUAGAUUUUUCCACUAAAUCUUAUUAGGAGGCAGUGUGCACGUGCAAUAGUAACAGGAAACGCAUCAUCAAUUAGGAAAUUGCUUCAGCUGGCAUGGUGGACAUGCAAUGGCCUUUUUAUUUUUUAUUUUUACAAUCUCUUGCCAUCCUUUGAUAUACAGUGCAACUGCAAUGAAACAGUGAUGCACUUUAACUUAGUUUGUGUUUUAAUGUUUUUGACCAUAUAUUAAUGUUUCAUUUUGCUUAUUUUGAGAGAUACUCUAGACAACAGAUGAAUCAGAUGUACAGUGAGUUUUACAGUGUGGCUGCUUGGCUGCUAUUAAAUGUGUAUUUCAUGCUUUUGUUUGUUGUUUUCAUGUUGGUGGAAUUCAUAUGUUUGGUUCUGUCCUGUAAGAUUUUUUUUUUUAUUCUCAUUGUUAACAUGCACUGUAAAAAAGGUCAUAAUUUUACAGAAAAUAACUCUAAAUUUUUACAGUAAUUUUCAGUUUUUUUUUAAAUUGUAUACAAAAAUUAUGGACAAUAUCUGUAAAUUAACAGACCAAAUAUUAUUUUAAGAAUUAUGCCAAU